rnacentral:lncRNA from 1 species
CGUUCCCUCGCGCUGCCACGCCAUAGGCGCGGAGCGGAGCCGUGCGCGCGCUCUCCGCCAAUCGGCGAGCGAGCGCCGGUCUCCUCCCGGCCAAUCGGGCGCGGGGGGCAGCGGGAGGCGCGUCGCGAUUGGCCGGCCGCCCUUUGCCUCCCUUUCUCGGCCGCCCGCCGUGCCCGCGCUCGAGGCCCGCGCCUGGCGCUCCGGUUCCGCCGUGCCGCCGGCACCGCUGGGCUCGGUGCCCCCUGGGCAGGACCCCGGCCCCCUCCCCGUCCCUCGCUCAGUGACAGAUAACCAAAGGAGUCCCCGUGCCGCGCGGCGGCCUCGCGCCCCGGAGACGCCCCCCCUCGUCCCCUCCCGCCCUCGCGGUGCCCAGGGAGCCAGGAAAGCCUUACGGUCCUUUGACGGCGACUCGAAAGCUCACAGCUCGUGUGCUGCAGAAUUUAUUCCAAUGAGCAGCUACAAGUAUCAUUUAAGAAGAAAAAAAAAAAAAAACAAAAAAAGAAAAAAAAAAAAACCCAACAACAAAAAGACAAAAAAAAAGACAAAAAAAAAAAAAACCUUUAAAAAAAAAAAAAAACCCCAACAAAAAACCAACCAAUUAUUUAGGGUGUUUGUGAUUGCUGACUGCGCUGUAGAUACCACUGUUUACCAAUGAUUUCCUGUGGUGGGAUAGUGGACUGUUUACUGUUCUAUAUACCAGUCCGUGGGCCUCCGGAGCGAGCGCGGCUCCCCGGCAGGCGCCAGGACGUGUGUUCUGUGUUAGAAAGUUUUUAUAUAUAUAUAUAUAUAUAUAUAUAAAUAUAUAUAUAUAAUUUUUUUUGCUCUGUUACUUGCACAUUUUACAGUUACCUCAUUUUUCCCAUGUAUGUAUUUGAAAAAAGGCUAAUAUAUAGAAAAAAAAAAAAAAGGUUCUUAAAGCUCUAAAAGUGUUUGGUUUUUUUUUCCAUUCCAUUGGAAUCAUAUUGGUUUUGUAGCAUUUAACAUAACUAGUAUGUUGUAUUAUAUAUAUGUGUAUUAUACUGAUUGAAAUUUUUAACAGAUUUGUACUUUUUUUAAAAUGAAAGUUGCUAGUUCUGCUUGACCAAGUAGUGCAAUCAUUAUUUUUUUUAAUGUUGUGGCUGAUUUUGAGAGGGAUAUUCACUAAUAAAUGUAUGAUGUAUACCAA